rnacentral:rRNA from 1 species
GCAGCAGCCACGGGAAUGCGUAGGUGGCAAGCGCUGUCCGGAAUUAUUGGGCGUAAAGGGCUCGCAGGCGGUUUCUUAAGUCUGAUGUGAAAGCCCCCGGCUCAACCGGGGAGGGUCAUUGGAAACUGGGAAACUUGAGUGCAGAAGAGGAGAGUGGAAUUCCACGUGUAGCGGUGAAAUGCGUAGAGAUGUGGAGGAACACCAGUGGCGAAGGCGACUCUCUGGUCUGUAACUGACGCUGAGGAGCGAAAGCGUGGGGAGCGAACAGGAUUAGAUACCCGGGUAGUCCCUGUCUCUUAUAC